rnacentral:rRNA from 1 species
CGCCUGCCCAGUGACUAUUCGUUAAACGGCCGCGGUACUCUGACCGUGCAAAGGUAGCGUAAUCACUUGUCUUUUAAAUAAAGACUAGUAUGAAUGGCAUCACGAGAACUAAUCUGUCUCCCUCCCCUAAUCAGUGAAACUGAUCUCCCCGUGCAGAAGCGGGGAUAAUAUUAUAAGACGAGAAGACCCUGUGGAGCUUCAAAUCAAAAACCAACUGCUUUUCCAUAUCUCCCAAGAAUACAUUUUUCCGCAGGCCUGAUUUAGAUUUUUAGCUGGGGCGGCUAUGGAGAAAAAACCAUCCUCCAUGUAUACUAUCCUAAGGGCUACUGCCCUAGGCAUUAAUAAAUUAAUUUAAUUGACCCAAUUUUUGAUCAACGAACCAAGUUACCCCAGGGAUAACAGCGCAAUCCACUUUUAGAGUUCCUAUCGACAAGUGGGCUUACGACCUCGAUGUUGGAUCAGGGCACCCAAGUGGUGCAGCCGCUACUAAAGGUUCGUUUGUUCAACGAUUAAAGCCCUACGUGAUCUGA